UGAAAAAAAUUUUAUGUUGAAUUUACUUAAUUUUAUUACGUCAAGGGGUUGCACGAAAUAAAUUUAUCUAAAUCCAGAUAUAUUUUUUAAGUUGAGUGAACUUAUAUUUUAUAAGUUGAGUUUACUUAUAUUUUAUAAAUUGGUUGUACUUAUAUUUUAUACAUUGAGUUUAUUAAUCUCUUUCAAUAAUUUCAACUUUUUUGA